rnacentral:rRNA from 1 species
AUUGAACGCUGGCGGCAGGCCUAACACAUGCAAGUCGAACGAGUGGCGGACGGGUGAGUAAUGUCUGGGAAACUGCCUGAUGGAGGGGGAUAACUACUGGAAACGGUAGCUAAUACCGCAUACAAUCAGAUGUGCCCAGAUGGGAUUAGCUAGUUGGUGGGGUAACGGCUCACCAAGGCGACGCUCCCUAGCUGGUCUGAGAGGAUGACCAGACACACUGGAACUGCGACACGGGCCAGAGUCCUACGCGAGGAAGCAGGGGGGAAGAGGGCAAGAUUGGCGAAAGCCCGAUGCAACCAUGCCGCGUGGAUGAAGAAGGCCUUCGGGUUGUAAAGUACUUUCAGCGGGGAGGCGUUACCCGCAGAAGAAGCGCCGGCUAACUCCGUGCCAGCCGCCGCGGUAAUUC